UAUUGCUGGGUUUCAGUCACAUGACUUUUCUUAGCAGUUUUAUUGGAAGUGAAAUAGCUGGUGGUCUAAACGGCUGCAGUAGUGCAAACAACUAGUGAUAACUUAUCAGAGUAUGCUUGUAAUCUAGAAGCCACUGCUUGCUCUAGAUAUAUUCAGAAGAUUGCUAUGUGCAAUGGAAUCGACCCCUACAGUCUGGGAAAGAAGGAUUUGUCCUAUGAUCUCGAAAACUACCCUUCACUCGAGUUCCCCGACAUCUCGAACUAUCUGGUGUUGCAGACAUCCUUCUACACCACAAAACAGAUGAAAGCGUGGAAGAGUAUGGAGGCUUACAACUUUUUUGUAUGUGGCUCGGUAAAGGACCUCGGUAUCAAGUCACUGCCGAAUGAAUCCUGUAUUGUUUUUGACCGUGUGAGUAUGGAUUUAUUUAUUUAUUUAUUUAAGCUUCUCGUUUGCAUCUUUACAAUGAAGCACUGCAAGUUGAAGUGUAAACAAACAACAGUUUGCUUGAUUCUCACUUGUGUUGGCUCUUAUCUCUCAGGUAAAUCAUUCACAAAGAUCAUCAGAAACCCCUUUAAAGACCUGGAUCUUAGUUAAACAAGAUGGAGAAGUGAUCACGGCGCAUUGUAACUGGAUGGCUGGGUAAGAAUUUUGUUGCGACCUUCAUGCAUAUGGACUCUGUGAGGAGUAAACAAGAAACAGUUGGGGACUUCAGCGCUUCGUGACUAAAGAAAGGAACAAAACACAAAGCAAGAAAAGUACUUGGAAAACACUAAGGACAUAGCUGAGGGGGAUAUACAAAUUUUUCAUGAAGUGAUCAUUGCAAACUUGAGCAUGCUUCGACUCGGCUCCCUUCGAUUUCAGGAACCCUGAAGAAACUCUUAUCAGUCUCACAGUUUGAUCGAUUCGAACAACCUAAAACAACACAAGCGCCCAUCCAUUUGAGGCUUUUGAUGAAGUGGCUGUGACAUCUGUAUAGUGCUGGUGAGGUUUCAUUUUAAACAAUGCAACAAUGCCCACUGCUGCGCCAUUGUCAGAGUGAACAAUCCUCUGUACCAGUCCCUGGGGAGAGCGACUAUGGAAUCAGGAAGCAGACACAAACUCAUUUCCUCCUUGCUGUCUAAUUAAGGACUCCUCCAAAUAGUUAUGUUAAUCUCAGGCAGAUGCACUAGAAACCCAUAUGUUUGUUUCUUUGAUCUAGAUGCAGAAAUAAAGCUGUUAUUUAAAUGGACCUUCUGUAUCAGGAAGUUCAUUUCAGGGGGUUGAUAUUUACCUUAAUAUACAUUUCUGCUUCUGUAUGUACAUUG